rnacentral:rRNA from 1 species
GAGUUUGAUCAUGGCUCAGGAUUAACGCUGGCGGCAUGCCUAAUACAUGCAAGUCGAACGGAGUAGCAAUACUUAGUGGCGAACGGGUGAGUAACACGUAUCUAAUCUACCAUUUAGUGGGGAAUAACUGUUGGAAACGACAGCUAAUACCGCAUAAUAUUGCUGGAUAAUUUCCAGUAAUGAAAGGAGCUUUCAAGCUCCGCUGAUUGAUGAGGAUGCGGCGCAUUAGCUAGUUGGUAGGGUAAUGGCCUACCAAGGCAAUGAUGCGUAGCCGAUCUGAGAGGAUGAACGGCCACAUUGGGACUGAG